rnacentral:rRNA from 1 species
UAGAGUUUGAUCCUGGCUCAGAGCGAACGCUGGCGGCAGGCCUAACACAUGCAAGUCGAGCGGGCCCUUCGGGGUCAGCGGCAGACGGGUGAGUAACGCGUGGGAACGUACCCUUUGGUUCGGAACAACUCCGGGAAACUGGAGCUAAUACCGGAUACGCCCUUUUGGGGAAAGAUUUAUCGCCGAAGGAUCGGCCCGCGUCUGAUUAGCUAGUUGGUGAGGUAACGGCUCACCAAGGCGACGAUCAGUAGCUGGUCUGAGAGGAUGAUCAGCCACACUGGGACUGAGACACGGCCCAGACUCCUACGGGGCGCAGCA